AUUGAACGCUGGCGGCAGGCCUAACACAUGCAAGUCGAACGGUAACAGGAAGCAGCUUGCUGCUUCGCUGACGAGUGGCGGACGGGUGAGUAAUGUCUGGGAAACUGCCUGAUGGAGGGGGAUAACUACUGGAAACGGUAGCUAAUACCGCAUAACGCCGCAAGACCAAAGAGGGGGACCUUCGGGCCUCUUGCCAUCGGAUGUGCCCGGAUGGGAUUAGCUAGGAGGUGGGGUAACGGCUCACCUAGGCGACGAUCCCUAGCUGGUCUGAGAGGGUGACCAGCCACACGUGAACUGAGACACGGUCCAGACUCCUACGGGAGGCAGCAGUGGGGAAUAUUGCACAAUGGGCGCAAGCCUGAUGCAGCCAUGCCGCGUGUAUGAAGAAGGCCUUCGGGUUGUAAAGUACUUUCAGCGGGGAGGAAGGGAGUAAAGUUAAUACCUUUGCUCAUUGACGUUACCCGCAGAAGAAGCACCGGCUAAUUCCGUGCCAGCAGCCGCCGCGGUAA
rnacentral:rRNA from 1 species